rnacentral:lncRNA from 1 species
UUUUUAAAAAGAAUGCAAUAAGGAAUGAAAGUCUUCCAAUAAUCCCCAGAGACCUACCUUUAAUGGAAUAAUGGCUCAAGCUAAUGAUUAUUCAUUCUUUCACUAAAUGACUAAUUAUCCAGCCCUGCGAUGUGCCAAGUGUGCUGUAGCUGGCUCACAGAGAAUCUUGAAAAGCUAAUGUACACUUCUCUCCCCAACUCCACAUUUAGGGACAUGACAUUUAGGGAUGUCAUGUCGAGAGUUCAAAAUCAACUGUGGUGAAACAUUUGCACCAUAGUAAUCAGCAAAUGUUACAAAUCAGUGUUGGUUGUUUUUGUUUUUUUUCCCCCAGAGAGUUGAUUUACCAACAUACCAUCCACCUGCCACUGUGUGGUAGUGGGAAGACAGCAGUGAGCAGAACAGCAAGGUCAUUACCCUAAGAGAGCACCUGUUCUAGGAGAGGAAGAUCAAAAAAAUGAUUGAUUAACAAGCUAUUUUCAGAAGGUGAAUAGGCUGUGAAAAAAAUAAAACAGGUGACUUGAUCAGCUGCAGGGGUUGGCAAGGUCUUUAAAGGAAGUGACACUUGAACUGUGUCAUAAAUUUGCAAGAGUGGGCCGGGGUGCAGCCUGGUGGCAGAGCGCUUGCCUGGCACACACAGGCCCUGGGUCCGAUCCCCGACACCACAUAAAGAAAAUAAAAAAUAUUUCCAAGAGCCAAUCUCGCAAACAAACUGGGAUAUAUAGAACAGAGUCUCUAUAGAACAGAGACUGCGAUACAGUUUUCAUUCUCUUUGUAUCAAGCUCCCAUUCUAAAAACACCUCCCCGAGCCCCUUUGCCCCGGCCAGCCACUGCCCCUUGCCUUCAAAGCCAAAUGCCCAAUUCACUUUCUCCACAGCCACCUCUCCUGUCUUGCUCCUACCCUCACCAAUACUGCUCUUGUCAAGGUCAAGAUCUUGUCAAGGUCAUCUGUGUUGCUGAAACCAAGAGUUGACUUUCAUCCUUAAUCUGAGAGACACUGCUGGUGGCACUUGAAAAAAAAAAACCACCCAGUCUUUCCUACAUGCAUUUUAUACCUGGCUUCCAGAAUCUUGUCCUCUCCUGAUUUCCUCUAUCUCACCGACUGUCUCUUUUGCUUAUCCUUUCCCAUCUCCCUGACUUCUAAGUGGUGAAGUGCCCAGGACCCGUCCUUUCCUAACUGUACUUAUUCCUCAGAGGUCUCAGAACCCCCAGCUCUAAAUGACAUCUCUGUGCUGAUGGUUUUCAAACUCAUGUCACCCUGCCAGAUGGCUCACCUGAGUUUAUUUGGACAUCUGCUGCUUAUUUAACAUCUUCACCUGGAGCCAAAAUGAUCCUUUAAAAUAUGGUUCGUAAAUUGUAGCUCCUUCACUUAAAAUCCUCUAAUAGCAUGGAAAGGACCAAAGACAGUCUUUUUAACAAAUGGCACUGGGAACAACUGGACAUUUAUAUACAAAAAAAAAAAUCUAGACACAAACUUUAUAUGUCAAAAAAAAUUAACUCAAAAUGGAUCAAAUGCAAAACCAUAAAACUCCUGGAAGAUAACAAGAGGAAGUCAAAAUGCCAUAGUGGUUGGCAAUGGCUUUUCAGAUACAGCAUCAAGGGUAUGUUCCAUGGAAAAAGGAAUAAGUUGAACUUGACUAAAAUUAAAUUUUUUCUGUUCUGUGAAAGACACUGGCAAAAAAUAAAUAAUAAAAACAGAGAAGCCACAGACUGGGAGACAAUAUUUUCAAAAGAUAUCUGAUAAAGGACUUGUCUAAAAUAAUUGAAGAACCCUUAAAACUCAAAGAACAAUAAGAAAACUGUCCGAUUACAAGAUGGGGCAAAGAUCUUAAUAGACACCCCACCAAAGAAGACAUACAGGUGGCAAAUAAACUUGUGAAAAGAUGCUUCACAUCCCAAGACAUCAGGGAAAUGCAAACUAAAACAACAGUGAGAUGCCACUGCACACCUAUCACAAUGGCCACCAAAUGCUGACCAGGAUGUAGAGAAACAGGAACUCCCACUUGAUGCUCUGGGGAAUUCAAAAUGGCACUGCCACUUUGGAAGACAGCUUGGCAAUUUCUAAACAUGCUCUUUUGCUCAAAACUAAACAAACUCUUAUCAAACAAUCCAUCCAUUGCUCUCCUCCAUCCAGUUAGGAGCAACAGGUAUUCCAGGACAGACCCCCUCUGAUGGUUGGAGGCUACAGACAUCACCAAAAGAUUUGGAAGUGACUUAGGUACCGUUCACAGCCAUUUCCUUUGAGGGUCAUGUCAUUUCACACUUUUCUCUUUAUGUUGUCGCUUCCUUGUUCCUUUACUCUGUCAAAGCCACGUCCCCCGCUUCUUCCUUUCCUUCUCUUUCUCUGGCUGCCUCCUUCCCCCUCUGCUUUCUCCAUGACUUUAUGCCACCUGAGCUUCCUGGCGUCUCUCAGGAGCCUGCUGAGUUUGCUAAGUUCCUCUUCCCCGACUCCCUUCAAGUUAGACCUCCUUGCCGCUCCUCACUAAAGUCACCCACUACCAUUUUGGACAGUCAUACCAUUUCCAAGUCUCUGUCUGGGUUACUUUUUCCCUCGGGUGCGUUGCUGUUGCAACUUCUCAUCAGGGUAAGACCCACCUCAUCCUCGCCCAGGUGGCGUCUUAAAUCCCCACCCACUUCUCUGUUUGCCUGGUUCUGUCCCCAGGAGGAGCGGUCCCUGCUUUAUUCUUUGCUGUCUCCCCAGUGACUGGAGCUGUGCCUGCAAACUAGAGAUAUCCCAUUAACAGUGUUGAAACUGGGAGAUGGACACAAAAUGUGUCUGGUCCCUCCCCUUGUUUUCCUCAGAAGCACACCACUUCAUUCAGAAACUCACAGAUUGUGGGCGCGUGUGUGUGUGUGUGUGUGUGUGUGAGAGAGAGAGAGAGAGAGAGAGAAGGAGCCAGCCAAUAUGGCAGACAUAAUUCAGCCCUUGUCUUCCCACUAGGGUUUUCUCUUCCCAUAGUUCUGUGGGGCUAUAAAUCAUGGGUCACACCCUGUCUUCUACAGGGUGGGUACUUGACCAGAGCUGGACAGUCAGUCCUCCUCAAGAGUGUCCCACUAGAGCCAGCUCCAAAGCCGGAGUCUCCUCAAUUGGAAUCACCAAGCUUCUUUUUAAAUGGCCCCUAGUGGUCAUCCCUUUCGAAAGCAGAAGAAAAUGAGGCCAGUUCUCAAGGAGGAGACAAACGAGGUAAGAGGGAGACAAAGAACCUGAGAAAGAAGACAGGAAAGCCUUCUCAGAGCCCCCGUCAGCCACAGCCAACCUGCUCUCUAGCCUUUUCAGGUGGGGAGUGGUCCAGGUAUUUCUCCCAAGCUUUGGAUCUACUUUCUAUCAUUUAUAGUCCAGAGAAUUCUGUCUAUUCUUUCCCCAUGUCCUGCUCCCUCAGACCGGACCAAACUACAUUCUCCACCAGCGUUUCAUCCAAUGCACCCAAAGAAUACUUAGACGUGAUGCUACCCUUGGGUGCGGGGUGGUGGUUGGAAGCAGUAUGGAGCACAGGGGUGGGGAAGGGACGGGGAGAACACUGUCACAUUAUGCUUUAAUUUAAAGCCUGAAAUUGAUGAGCAAGGAUUUCUACACAUGGCCCAGCCUCCUCUCAGGGUUCUGACUGGAGACCAGGUUUCAAGUUCAGCUAACAAUAAAAUAGUGCUUUUGUUGCUUUUGCCACUGUUCUUUGGGCAUCUGCCCUACGUGGGUGCAUGAAGGACAUGGGUGUCUAUGGUCUGGGAAUAAGGCUCAUGUGCUCCUGGGUGCCCUGGGCAAGUUACUGCCAUCUGACAGCAUGAAUCUCAAUCGUUAUUUUAAAGUGCCACGUGAGAGUUAGUUGGUUGUUAUUAUUUAUUAUUUUUAUCAUAAUCAUCCCAGCCAUCAAAGUCUCAUGUGUUAAAUUAAGUGAACAAGACCUUACAUAAAAUGUUGUCCAUUAAUUUUUCUAACAAGUAUUAAGGGAGCUUCUACCAGGUGACAGUCACUUGCUAACCACUGAGAUAUAGCAAUAAACAAACACUCAAGUGGGAAGAGAGAAAACAUAAACAAGUAAAAACAAUUAGCAUGUCAGAUAGGGAUACGUGUAGUGAGGGAAAAUAGGGGUGGCUGUCUUAGAGAGUGGACAGAGCUGUCCUCCUUGUCAUGGUGACAUUUGAGCAGAGCCCAGAGAGAAAUAAGCUGACAAGCUGUGGGGACAUGGAGCACUUCCAUGCAAAGGCCCCAAGAUGGAGACCCACGUGGUCAGAGGGCAGCAAAGGAAAGGAGUUGGUAUGGCCUCAGAGGGAGCACAUCAACAGGUGGCCAAGGGCCUUGGGUCAUUUUAGGAAUCCACAGGACAGUUUUAAGCAGAGGAGUUUCAUGUUCUGUGUUAUAUUUACAGGGAGUAAAUUCUCCUUUGCCCUAUAGCCGCCUUCCACUUCCUCUCUCAAUUCACAUUUCUCGUUUCCUCUUUCUCUCUCUGUAUUUUCUUUAGGUCUUCAUAAUGCUGUUUUCCCCUCUUCUCCCCUUCCCUGUACUUCUUCUCCAGGGUGGGUCACUCCAUCCGGGAUCCCCCUCACCCCUUUUUAAUCUCAGUCUCUUUCUCUCUCUCCCAAGGGACUUUCUGCAGCUAAAAGCCCUGUAGUCCCUCUACAGGACACCACUGCCAUCUCUUUGUUUCUCUAUCUUCUCUGGGGUGCCCAAGGCCCUCAACCAACACUAUUGCUAUUCUCCACAGCCCUGCUCACCACAGAGAGGCUCCAAACCAUGUCCCUCAGCUGACACAGCAGCUGAGCCUUUGAAAACAUUACUGCUAUGACCUCCUCCUCCUCCUCCUCCUCCUCCUC